GAAAUGCGAUAAGUAAUGUGAAUUGCAGAAUUCAGUGAAUCAUCGAAUCUUUGAACACACCUUGCGCUCCUUGGUAUUCCUUGGAGCAUGCCUGUUUGAGUAUCAUGAAAUCUUCAAAGUAAAUCUUUUGUUAACUCAAUUGGUUUCUACUUUGGUAUUGGAGGUCUUUGCAGCUUCACACCUGCUCCUCUUUGUUCAUUAGCUGGAUCUCAGUGUUAUGCUUGGUUCCACUCGGCGUGAUAAGUUAUCUAUCGCUGAGGACACUGUAAAAGGUGGCCAAGGUAAAUGCAGAUAAACCGCUUCUAAUAGUCCAUUGACUUGGACAAUACUUUUAUGAUCUGAUCUCAAAUCAGGUAGGACUACCCGCUGAACUUAAGC
rnacentral:misc_RNA from 1 species